UGGAGCGGCGGGCAGUAAGCUGAAAUCGGCUAAAAGGACGCACAGGCAGGACAUUUCGCAGAAAACCGAACCAGAACAGUUCGAAAAAAGCGAGAACCAAUUGUCCUGUGCUAAUUUUGCUGGGUAGCAUACUUUUUGGCGCGCUCCUGCUUUAAUCCUGCCGUCUAAGUGAUUGUGAAAUGUGACAAGCCAAGUGACAGUUAGCAAAAGCCAAGAAGAGGAGAAAGGGGAACAGAGAAAGGAGAAAGAAGAAAGCAACCAAACAGAUGGAAACAACUUGCAGAUGCUGAUGUUCGAGGUCCCAGGAGACAUUUAACAUAAUAAAAACGAACGUGUGUGGCAUUUUUGUGUUGCCUGUUGGCCAAGUUAACUCCUGUGUGUUUGUGUGCGCGUUUGUUUAAUGCUAAUAUCACAGACACUCGCCCCCGCACACACACACCAACUUACAAACAAACAAUAUUGCAAAUGUGUGCGUCAGGCAGUUGGCAAAAGUGUCGUAAAUCGUUUAGACAGCGCAACGUGGCCCAGAAACUGGAGAAGAGGGCCAAAAACGAAACGAUAUGUAAACGACACAGCCGCCGUGGGAAAAACUGCCAAAAAUACCCAAACAAUAAGCUAAGAAAAUGGAAGAUCUGCCGAUGAACUGCAUUUGUUGCUCAUAUGUGAAAAUAAUAAGUCGAGGCAAAGUUGAUUUUAACAAUGAUGACUAUCUGCUGGCUUUUGGAGUUUUUAUGAAAAAUGCUCCUAAGACGACAAUGAUGUAUGGCCUCUCAAUAUUGUUAUAAAUAUAAAUAUUGUCAUAAAUAAAGAAAUUUUGUAGAACAAAUAAAAUAAAAUAUACAGUCUAUA